UACGUAGGGUGCAAGCGUUGUCCGGAAUUAUUGGGCGUAAAGAGCGUGUAGGCGGUUUGGUAGGUCCGUUGUGAAAACUCGAGCUCAACCUCGAGACGCCGGCGGAAACCAUCUGACUAGAGUCCGGAAGAGGAGAGUGGAAUUCCGUGGUGUAGCGGUGAAAUGCGCAGAUAUCAGGAAGAACACCCGUGGCUAAGGCGGCUCUCUAGUACGGUACUGACGCUGAGACGCGAAAGCGUGGGAGCGAACAGGAUAGAACCCUUGG
rnacentral:rRNA from 1 species